rnacentral:rRNA from 1 species
GGGUUGUGAGGUUAAGCGACUAAGCGUACACGGUGGAUGCCCUGGCAGUCAGAGGCGAUGAAGGACGUGCUAAUCUGCGAAAAGCGCCGGCGAGGUGAUAUGAACCUUUGACCCGGCGAUGUCCGAAUGGGGAAACCCAGUGCAAUCCGUUGCACUAUCGUUAACUGAAUACAUAGGUUAACGAGGCGAACCGGGGGAACUGAAACAUCUAAGUACCCCGAGGAAAAGAAAUCAACCGAGAUUCCCCCAGUAGCGGCGAGCGAACGGGGAGCAGCCCGGAGUCUGAAUCAGCUUGUGUGUUAGUGGAACGGUCUGGAAAGUCCGACGGUACAGGGUGAUAGUCCCGUACACGAAAGCACACUUGCUGUGAACUCGAAGAGUAGGGCGGGACACGUGGUAUCCUGUCUGAAUAUGGGGGGACCAUCCUCCAAGGCUAAAUACUCCUGACUGACCGAUAGUGAACCAGUACCGUGAGGGAAAGGCGAAAAGAACCCCGGCGAGGGGAGUGAAAAAGAACCUGAAACCGUGUACGUACAAGCAGUGGGAGCCUCUUUAUGGGGUGACUGCGUACCUUUUGUAUAAUGGGUCAGCGACUUAUAUUCUGUAGCAAGGUUAACCGUAUAGGGGAGCCGAAGGGAAACCGAGUCUUAACUGGGCGUUAAGUUGCAGGGUAUAGACCCGAAACCCGGUGAUCUAGCCAUGGGCAGGUUGAAGGUUGGGUAACACUAACUGGAGGACCGAACCGACUAAUGUUGAAAAAUUAGCGGAUGACCUGUGGCUGGGGGUGAAAGGCCAAUCAAACCGGGAGAUAGCUGGUUCUCCCCGAAAGCUAUUUAGGUAGCGCCUCGUGAACUCAUCUUCGGGGGUAGAGCACUGUUUCGGCUAGGGGGCCAUCCCGGCUUACCAACCCGAUGCAAACUACGAAUACCGAAGAAUGUUAUCACGGGAGACACACGGCGGGUGCUAACGUCCGUCGUGAAGAGGGAAACAACCCAGACCGCCAGCUAAGGUCCCAAAGUCAUGGUUAAGUGGGAAACGAUGUGGGAAGGCACAGACAGCCAGGAUGUUGGCUUAGAAGCAGCCAUCAUUUAAAGAAAGCGUAAUAGCUCACUGGUCGAGUCGGCCUGCGCGGAAGAUGUAACGGGGCUAAACCAUGCACCGAAGCUGCGGCAGCGACACUAUGUGUUGUUGGGUAGGGGAGCGUUCUGUAAGCCGUUGAAGGUGUCCUGUGAGGGGUGCUGGAGGUAUCAGAAGUGCGAAUGCUGACAUAAGUAACGAUAAAGCGGGUGAAAAGCCCGCUCGCCGGAAGACCAAGGGUUCCUGUCCAACGUUAAUCGGGGCAGGGUGAGUCGACCCCUAAGGCGAGGCCGAAAGGCGUAGUCGAUGGGAAACAGGUUAAUAUUCCUGUACUUGGUGUUACUGCGAAGGGGGGACGGAGAAGGCUAUGUCAGCCGGGCGACGGUUGUCCCGGUUUAAGCAUGUAGGCGGAGGUUCCAGGUAAAUCCGGUACCUUAUUAACGCUGAGGUGUGAUGACGAGGCACUACGGUGCUGAAGUGAUAAAUGCCCUGCUUCCAGGAAAAGCCUCUAAGCAUCAGGUAACACGAAAUCGUACCCCAAACCGACACAGGUGGUCAGGUAGAGAAUACCAAGGCGCUUGAGAGAACUCGGGUGAAGGAACUAGGCAAAAUGGUGCCGUAACUUCGGGAGAAGGCACGCUGAUAGGUAGGUGAAGCCCCUGCGGGCGGAGCUGAAAUCAGUCGAAGAUACCAGCUGGCUGCAACUGUUUAUUAAAAACACAGCACUGUGCAAACACGAAAGUGGACGUAUACGGUGUGACGCCUGCCCGGUGCCGGAAGGUUAAUUGAUGGGGUUAGCGGCAACGCGAAGCUCUUGAUCGAAGCCCCGGUAAACGGCGGCCGUAACUAUAACGGUCCUAAGGUAGCGAAAUUCCUUGUCGGGUAAGUUCCGACCUGCACGAAUGGCGUAAUGAUGGCCAGGCUGUCUCCACCCGAGACUCAGUGAAAUUGAACUCGCUGUGAAGAUGCAGUGUACCCGCGGCAAGACGGAAAGACCCCGUGAACCUUUACUAUAGCUUGACACUGAACACUGGUCCUUGAUGUGUAGGAUAGGUGGGAGGCUUUGAAGCGUGGACGCCAGUCUGCGUGGAGCCAACCUUGAAAUACCACCCUUUAAUGGCUGGUGUUCUAACGUAGACCCGUAAUCCGGGUUGCGGACAGUGUCUGGUGGGUAGUUUGACUGGGGCGGUCUCCUCCCAAAGAGUAACGGAGGAGCACGAAGGUUGGCUAAUCCUGGUCGGACAUCAGGAGGUUAGUGCAAUGGCAUAAGCCAGCUUGACUGCGAGCGUGACGGCGCGAGCAGGUGCGAAAGCAGGUCAUAGUGAUCCGGUGGUUCUGAAUGGAAGGGCCAUCGCUCAACGGAUAAAAGGUACUCCGGGGAUAACAGGCUGAUACCGCCCAAGAGUUCAUAUCGACGGCGGUGUUUGGCACCUCGAUGUCGGCUCAUCACAUCCUGGGGCUGAAGUAGGUCCCAAGGGUAUGGCUGUUCGCCAUUUAAAGUGGUACGCGAGCUGGGUUUAGAACGUCGUGAGACAGUUCGGUCCCUAUCUGCCGUGGGCGCUGGAGAAUUGAGGGGGGCUGCUCCUAGUACGAGAGGACCGGAGUGGACGCAUCACUGGUGUUCGGGUUGUCAUGCCAAUGGCACUGCCCGGUAGCUAAAUGCGGAAAAGAUAAGUGCUGAAAGCAUCUAAGCACGAAACUUGCCCCGAGAUGAGUUCUCCCUGAGACCUUGAGUCUCCUGAAGGAACGUUGAAGACUACGACGUUGAUAGGUCGGGUGUGUAAGCGCAGCGAUGCGUUGAGCUAACCGAUACUAAUGAACCGUGAGGCUUAACCUUACAACGCCGAAGGUGUUU